rnacentral:misc_RNA from 1 species
GGAUGAAGAAGUGGGUUUUGAUGUAAAGAAUGUAUUCUUGUUGUCUUAAUGUUUUAUGGGGAGGUUUUAUUAGGCAAGUAAUCCAAUUUCUGACAAGAUAAAUUGUAGAAAAGUAGAGAAUGGAGAGAAAGUGGUGUAUGUUCUUGUAUGUGGUAGCAUUGAUGGAGAGUUGUUAUGCUUCUCUUUCCCCUACUGGUAUCAACUAUGAAGUUGUUGCUUUGAUUGAAAUUAAGAAGGCCUUACAUGAUCCUUACAAUGUUCUUGAGAAUUGGGAUGUCACUUCUGUUGACCCUUGCAGUUGGAGAAUGGUUACAUGUUCAAAUGAUGGUUAUGUUUCUUCUCUUGGACUACCUAGUCAAAGUUUAUCUGGAACCUUGUCACCUGGAAUUGGAAACCUCACUAAAUUGGAAUCUAUAUUGCUGCAAAAUAAUGCUAUUUAUGGUUAUAUUCCUGAUGUGGUUGGUAAUUUAGAAAGUCUUCAGACACUUGAUCUCUCCAACAACAAGUUUGAUGGGGAAAUACCUGCUUCUUUCGGAGAUCUCAAUAAUUUGAAUUAUUUACGAUUAAACAACAAUAGCCUCACAGGAAACAUUCCUCAAUCUCUCUCAAACAUUGGAGGCCUCGCUCUCGUGUACGUCUCCAUA